AUGGCGACCGGCGCACGGGUGAGUAACACGUAUCCAACCUGCCGAUAACUCGGGGAUAGCCUUUCGAAAGAAAGAUUAAUACCCGAUGGUAUAAUCAGACCGCAUGGUUUGAUUAUUGAAGAAUUUCGGUUAUCGAUGGGGAUGCGUUCCAUUAGGCAGUUGGUGAGGUAACGGCUCACCAAACCUUCGAUGGAUAGGGGUUCUGAGAGGAAGGUCCCCCACAUUGGAACUGAGACACGGUCCAA
rnacentral:rRNA from 1 species